UACGUAGGGGGCAAGCGUUGUCCGGAUUCAUUGGGCGUAAAGAGCGUGUAGGCGGCCAGGUAGGUCGGUUGUGAAAACUGGAGGCUCAACCUUCAGAGGUCGACCGAAACCAUCUGGCUAGAGUCCGGGAGAGGAGAGUGGAAUUCCUGGUGUAGCGGUGAAAUGCGCAGAUAUCAGGAGGAACACCGGUGGCGAAGGCGGUUCUCUGGGAAUGACCUGACGCUGAGGAGCGAAAGCAUGGGGAGCGAACAGG
rnacentral:rRNA from 1 species